AUAUACAUGUCACUGUCAACAUAAAAAUAAAUAAAUGAAAUACAUAAUAAAUCACUGCAGUUGGUCUGUGUGGCUUUUAGAUUCAUGGUUCGUUUUAGAUUAGAUCGUGUAAUAUAUUACACUACUUCCGCACAUACUAUAAGCCAUUAUGGAUUCAUAUUAAUUGUGUUUACAAUAGGUUUUAAUAUUGUUUUGAAUCUCGCCAUGUAGUCGCUGGAUGGACAUCUAGUGGCUGGAUGGUUUGCGCAUGCGCAGUAUGCAGAUAGCGCAGAACUGCAGUUGUUGGUCGUUGAAGGAGGUGAGACUUAUAACGGUUAAAGAUGACAACCUCUUGGAGUGAUCGACUCCAGAAUUAUGCAGAACUUCCUGCCAACAUGGAUGGUUUAUCCAUGAAGAAAUACAGAAGAGAGGUGCAUCACAGCUUACCACAGGAACUGGCCCACUGUCAUCCUUCUAUGAGGUAUGCCAAAGUUAUUUUUGUUGACCUGCAGUGCUGACUGAUUAUCUGUUUUGUAAUUGAUGUUUUUUUUUCUCCCAUGUACUCAUCACAGCACAGCACUAAAAAUACAAAAUGAACAAAACCAUCAAUGCUUUUGCACUGUGCUGUGAUUGUAUGUAGGUGUCCAUAGGAAGACCUGUGAUGGGAUUUGAAUCUGUGAGAUCAUUCCUUCAUUUUGCCUUCCCCUAGCCAUAUGUCCUUCAUUCUUCCUCUUAACACAUCACUUAACCGCUAAUUUAUUCCUAGAAAUAUUUUAAAUGUCUUACUGCAAAUGCGGAGCUGAAUUAAGAUGGUCUAGCAUCAGGUGAAUUCAAAUAAAAAUAUAUCUUUUAAAAUCAAGUAAAAAUAACUGACCAUAGCGCAAUUUCAAAC